rnacentral:misc_RNA from 1 species
CGACAAGUCAGGCAAUUGCAGCAUUGAAGAUGUUGAGAGAAAACAAGAACAAGUUUGACCUGGUUAUCAGUGAUGUGCAUAUGCCAGACAUGGAUGGUUUUAAAUUGCUGGAGCUCGUGGGGCUUGAGAUGGACCUACCUGUCAUAAUGUUGUCGGCAAAUAGUGAUCCAAAGCUUGUGAUGAAAGGGAUUAGUCAUGGAGCUUGUGAUUAUUUGCUGAAGCCUGUUCGAAUGGAGGAGUUAAAGAACAUCUGGCAACAUGUAAUUAGGAGAAGAAAAUUCAAUAACAAGGAUAGGAAUCACUUUGACAACCAAGACAAGCUUCAUCAUGGAAGUAGUGAAGCCACAGCCGACCAGAAGCUUAAUAAAAAAAGGAAGGACCAGAAUGAAGACGAGGAUGAGGAUCGUGAUGAUAAUGAACAUGAAAAUGAGGAUCCGACAACCCAAAAGAAACCUCGGGUUGUUUGGUCAGUAGAGCUGCAUCGCAAGUUUGUUGCAGCUGUUAAUCAGUUAGGCAUUGACAAAGCUGUCCCUAAAAAGAUUCUCGAUUUGAUGAAUGUUGAAAAGCUUACAAGAGAAAAUGUUGCGAGCCAUCUACAGAAAUAUAGGCUUUACCUUAAAAGGAU